AACGCACAUUGCACUUCCGGGAUAUGCCCGGGAGUAUGCUUAUUUGAGUGUCUGCAAACCCCACUCAACCAAUUACGAAUGUUAUGUUUGUGAAUGUGUUGGACUCUGGGAUUGGGAAAACAUCAGCAAUUGUUGUUGAUUUUCCCUCUCCUGAAAUGCAGGGCUUUGCGAGAUGAUACACCAAACGCAAUGAUAGCCCGUAAUGGUAAUGUUGUUGUAAUGACAGCUUUGAUUAAUACGGUGUUUAUCUGUUGUCGGUCAUCUGAACAAUGGCAAAAAGUUGUUUUGCACAAACAAAACAACGAUUAAAACUUCCAAUCAGAUCUCAAAUUAAGUAAGAAGACCUGCCGAAUUUAA
rnacentral:misc_RNA from 1 species